rnacentral:lncRNA from 1 species
GGUUCUAAUUGCCAUUCCCUAACUUCAUGUCUUGAGCUGACUAAGGAGAAGUUCACGAAGGCAGAAAACUUGUGUCUACUUAUAGUAGUUCAAAGAUCCAAAGGCCACCUUUCAUUUUAUAAUGUCUCUGUACCUCUUAAUCCAAGCUGAGUAUGUUUUCAGCAGUGCAAUUCUCGAAAAAUAUGGUAGAAAAAAAAUAAAAGGAAUCCAGACAGAACAAAGAAUGAAACUAUGGACACAGGCAUGAGAGAAAUGCACUUAUUUGUGGCAGUACUAUUGCAGAGAUAAUGGGAGAGGUGGUAAGAGCUGAGACUGGAAAAGCAGAGUGGAGCCAGUGUGCAGAGGAUCCAAUAUGGCACCCUAAGGAGUCUGACUUCAUCCUGCAGUGGUGAAUGGGAAAUCAUCUAAGUUUAUUAUUAUUCGUAAGCACAGGGGCAGUGUACAAUUUCUGCGUUGAGAAAGGAGAAUUCUGAAAUGGUAGUUUUGAAUGGUGGAUUUAAAGUGGGAGAUUGAUUUGAGCCUUUAACAUUGCAGUUUAAAAACAAACAGAAUUUUAAAAAGCAAGUGGGAGAUAGAUAUUGAAAGCAGGAAGACCAUUCAGGAGAUAGCCACAAUAGUCUAGAGAGAGAUGGGGAAGGUCAGUUGUAUGUCAGACCAAGCAGCAUGUUUGAAACACUGAAGAAAAAAGCUCCAGUGAUCCACGUAUGAGUGGCCUGACCUACGGAGUAUCGAGGAGAAGGAGAGGAAGGCAAUAGAAAGAACUAGACAUGGGUUGAACUCUUGGUAGCCUGACUAGUGCCUGACUGUUCUUCAAGACUCUCUCCUGAAUAGAUUUGACCUUUUGGACCUUCUAGGGCCCUUUUCAUCACUUGUUACCAGCCAUUGCUACCUCCUGGAGCCCCCUUUAAUCUGGAGCCCCCUUUGAUCACUUGUUACCAGCCAUUGCUACCACCCUGCACCAUUGCAAAGUGGAAUGUACGUGACUCUUCUCAAAGCCCCUAGAACUAUAUACACACAUCAUUGUAGCACUUCUUAUAUGACACGUACUGUGAUCACUUGUUAGCCUCACAUGUUCUGGCCCUUGCCUACUUCUUUGAUACCAUUUUUUUUAUCCCUUUCCUGCAUAUUGUGUAUUUUCCAAUCUGUCACUUUAAUAAGAAAUCUACAUGUUUUAUGUGGUGUGAUGAGCUCAAGGAUUAUUAGAGCUGAAAGGAAUUGUGGGUUUUCAACUAUCUACAUAUAUACUGAAGUCUCAGGUGAUCAUCAGCAUUUUCAACAAUAAGGCAUUUUAAAAUUAAGGCAUGUACAUUCUUAAGGACAUAAUGCUAUUGUGCCUUUAAAAGACUACAAUAUAGUGUAAAUAUAACUUUUUUUUUUUUUUUG